GUCAUGGCAAUGCUGUGGGUGGUGGUGCAUGGCCGUUCUUAGUUGGUGGAGCGAUUUGUCUGGUUCAUUCCGAUAACGAACGAGACUCCGGCAUGCUAAAUAGUUACGCGGCCCCGAGCGGUCGGCGUCCAACUUCUUAGAGGGACAAGUGGCGUUCAGCCACGCGAGAUGGAGCAAUAACAGGUCUGUGAUGCCCUUAGAUGUCCGGGGCUGCACGCGCGCCACAAUGGGCGGAUCAGCGUGUGCCUACCCUGCGCCGAGAGGCGCGGGUAACCCGCUGAACCCCGCUCGUGAUCGGGACUGGGGAUUGAAACUGUUUCCCAUCAACGAGGAAUUCCCAGUAAGCGCGGGUCAUAAGCUCGCGUUGAUUAAGUCCCUGCCCUUUGUACACACCGCCACCCACAGCAUUGCCAUGAC
rnacentral:rRNA from 1 species